GGGUUUCACCAUGUUGGCCAGGCUGGUCUCGAACUCCUGACCUCGUGAUCUGCCUGCCUUGGGCUCCUGAGUGUUUUCAGAUAAGUAGAUAUUAAGUGACUGACUGAGUAAAGGGAUACACUGGAUCUAUGGAAGUCUUGAUCCAAAAAGCUCUCCAUUGUCCAGUCAGACUCCCUUUUCCAUCUCCAGGGCAGACCAGGGCAUGGUAUAAACUGACUCCACUCCUUGUGUGUAAUACAGUGUCUUCCUAGAGAGGGCGUCUGUCAUUCCACCCCCAGGGACUGCUUGGCAUCUGUGUGGCAGGGGCCAUGCUGUUCCCCGCUGGGAGCACCAUCCUACAGUAAUCUCUGUGCAGGAUGCUAUUAUAAGAAAGACUUGGGACUUUGUCCCCACUCUGCAACCUCACACCCCAAACUGGGAAGGUGCUGAGAAACCGAAGAUUGGCUCGGACAAGUCCAGCUUGGCCAGUAGAUGACUCUAUUGAGGGCCCUCCUGGGUGGCGGCAGGACAGCUCUAGAGGUUCGCACUGCUGCCAUCACUAAGCAAAGUCUCUGGUUCCUGGCCUGCUGUGUGUGAUGGGACUGCCUUCCUGGGUAGGUUCCCAGAUACUCCCAGGGACACACGCUCCUCGCUGGGCCCCCCUGGCCUUGGCUCCUUGCCUGGCCUUCAGGGUUCAGGCAGUGGACAUCCACCCCACGUGACAUGGUGGGACACCUGUCACACCACCGAUGCCCCUGCAGAUGGGCCACGCAACAGCCCUCGGGCCUUCCUGUCUCAGAGCAGGGCUGAUCACAGUCAGGCCCACUGCAGUGGAGAAAGACUGUGCAGAGCUAGACGCUGGACUCGGAUCCUCUCUAGCGUGGGACAGGCACUGGGCACCCAGACGCUCCACACUCAUGCUCAGAGCAGCAUUAUUCACAGCAGCCAGGAGGGGGACGUCGCCCAGGUGUUCCUCGGUGGAUGAAUGGAUAAAGAAAAUGUAAACACACAGUGGAAUCUUACUCAGCCUUGAAAAGGAAGGAAAGUCCAUCCAACACAUGCUACUGCAUGGACGAACUUUGGACAGUGAGCUAAGUGAAAGGAGACAGUCACAAAAGGACAAAUACCAGAUGAUCCCACCUGCGCGAGAUGAUCAGGUUUGUCAUAUCUCCUGCAUGGAGGAAAAUUGCUUUCUGUAAAUCUUGGUCCAACAGAACAAAACACCUAUUUCUUUCCAGUUGGGAGGACAGCCAUUCUCAUCGGUAUAAUGAACGUAUUGUAAGCUGUGACUUUUACAAAGUCUGAGGGAAACCAAUCUGCAAUCUUGACAGAUACGAUCUUUCCAGAUGCACUGUUCGUUUACGGCGGCAAGAGAGCUCAAUUAAUUUCUGAGGGAGGACGGCAGGAUGCGACCCCUUGUGCGUGGCCUAGGAGGAACUGUCCCUGUGUGAAUUUAUGUUCUGGUAAUUUAAAAAGAUUUAUAUUAAGCUUUUCUUUCAUUUUGAGAGUAGAUUAAAAUUCUAAUGGAAACCAUUUGUAUGCAUUUGUUGAAUUGAAGAGUAUUUAUGGCUGUGUAAAAAAAAUGCUGCAAAAUUCUGCCGAUAAUAAAGUCAGUGAAGCAAGAAUAAGUGUAAAAACAGGAAGGAAAUACGCGAUAGAAACCAUACUGUAUUAUACAAGUAUAAUGAGGGAGGCAAGCCGAGCAGAACGGGGCAGGGAUUAGGCCCCCGGAUGGGAUAGUUUUUCUUAUUUAGUGUAAGGCUUUUGUAGCCCUUUUAUGACUUAAAACAAAAUUUAAAUUUUGAAACAGGCCAGGUCAGUCUGCACAGACCCCAUGGCCACAUCACUGUGUCACAUCAUUCUUGAACUCCUGCCGGUGUCUAGGACAAACAGGCAGGAAAGAAAAUCCAAGCGGCGUCUCAGAGAAAAGAUGCUGAUGGCAGGAAAAGAAGACCCAUGAAACAGGAGGCGGGGGUCAGCGAGCAAGGUGAAAAUCAGAGCCCCGGAGUGCAGUGCAGGUGGAAGAGAGGUAGCAAAACCAGGGAAGUCGCCGUGCUCGGGACAGUCCAGUGUGUCCCUGGCAUCCCCAGUCAUUGCCGUGGCCACCUGAUCAGAACCUGUACAGAAGCUGCCCCAUCUCCUCCACGGUGAGGGCCAAGUUGCAUGUGCCACAGCCCUGUCGGUGACCUUUCUGCGGGCUGGGGAAGCAGAGACAACGGCCUGACAAUCUGCAGGCACAGCCAUCCAAGGGGACAGGGUCCAUGCAACAGCCACCAGAGAAAGCUCCUCACUGCCACCUUUGCAGAGGGAGAAAAGCAGAAAGCAUCGUGGAGGCCCUUUAUCAUGUUGGAAGGCCAGAGACAUUUGGCAUUCCGUCAAGGUCCAUCUUAGAGUUGAGAGAGAGUUUCACCAGGAAACUCACAUUCUCUCAGAACUAGCAGCCGUGAUCGCAUGUCGAAGUCAGGCAACGCCAAGCGUGAUGGUUAACAGCGCUAAGACAGGAGAAAAUGGAAAUUCCCUGAGAGUCCACUGCUCUGCUCCUGCGGCGGUGCUUUUCCCCCUCGUUGUAAGCAUGCUCUUUACCAGAGCUGCACGGAUGUCAUAAACUGCCUCACGAUGCACUAGAGCAGAAUCGUGCGUUAGCAAAUUUCACAGAUGCAAAGUGGGAUUUCUGUCAAUGGAAGCCUGCAUGGAAAAUACGGAACAGCUUAAGAAAGUACUGUCUUCUCUCAAAAUUCCACAGGAGCCUGAAAUGCAGGGGUUCCGGCCUAGGCGUUUUUUGAGGCAAAUAACGUCGCCACACGGCCGAGAUACAGGCCCCUUUUUGCCCCAUGAGACUUACUGGCCUCAGAGUCCGGCCGCUUCUGUUUUGUUUCUUCAUGUAUCCUUGGCUUCUAGCGCAGUUCCUGGUACACAGCAGGCGCUCAAUACAUAUUUGCUGAGCUAAGCAAAUAUGUCCUAGGCCCUGUGGAAGAUACGACAUGAGGAAGACCAGGUCCCUGCCAAAAAGGCACCGAGGGCCCAGGCUGGGGAGGGUAGUGCUGACAUCGAGUAGGCCUUCAGCUCUGACCCCAGCUUCAUUUUAAGUGACUAGGAACAAAUUCUCAAAACUUCUUUUCUAUCAACUCUUCUUCACCCCCAAUAUCACAGCACAACUGUCUGUCAUUGAUGGAGUUCCUGCAAUAAGACAAGCGCUAGAAGUUUACCAUAUUUGUAUCCUUACUGGAUUCCCAAAUUAAUCCUAGUAAGCAAGUGACAUGAUUGUUUUUAGUAGAGACAGGGUUUCACUUUGUUGGCCAGGCUAGUCUUGAACUCCUGACCUCAAGUGAUCCACCCACCUCAGCCUCCCAAAGUGCUGGGAUUAGGAAAAUGAAUACUUUUGCAAGCACAAUGACAGGAGUGUCAAAGGAGGUAGGCUCCACACUCUGAUGUCUCUUUAUCAGUGAGGCCUUUUCUGACUCCCUCACAUGAAGAGCAAACUCACUUCCCUUGUGCCAAAGCACUCAACAUAUAUGACAUCCCACACGGGGUAGGCUGAAUCGUGGCCCUUAAAGUAUGUCCAUGUUCCAAUCCUUAGAACAUGUGAAUGUAUUACCUUAUGUGGCAAAAUGGACUUUGCAGACAUGAUUAAGUUAAGGAUCUUGAGAUUUCAGGAAAAUUAUCUUGGAUCAUUCAGGUAGGCCUGACAUAAUCACAAGAGCCCUUACAAGAGAGAGGCAGGAGGCCAGAGGCAGAGAGCUACACUGCGGAGCUGCUUUGCAGAUGGAGGAAGGGGCCACCGAGACCUGAGAAAGUCAAGGAGACAGAUUCUCCCCUGGAGCCUCCAGAGGGAACCAGCCCUGCUCACACCGUCAUUUCAGCCCUGCAAGACUUGUUUGGGCUUCUGACGUCAAGAACUGGGACAGAAUGAAUUUGUGAUGUUUUAGGCCACUAGAUCUGUGGUAAUGUGUUAUAGCAGAAAUAGGAAACUAACACAACUCAUCUCUACUUGUGUAUAUGUUUGUUAUCCGUCUUCCUCUGCUGGGACAUGAAAUCCGCAACAAGUGGAGGCAAAGCCAGGGACUUUGUCUAUUAUGUUGACUGGCAUCCUUAGUGCUCAGAACAGAGCUCAGAAUAAUAAAUAUUUGUUGAAUGAGCAAAGACGGAGGGGGCAGUCGCAGGAAGGGGGCCUACCGCGUGGCUAAGGGCCCUGAGGUAUGAAAGAUCUGAGAUGCUGGUGGACGUGGCUGCUUCCCGAGCUGAACUGGGGAAGUGGUGGGGAGGUGGGAGAUGUCGGGGAGCUGAUGCUGGGGCAGUUUAUACUUUAUUCUGCAAAUGAAGAAUUAUUGAUGGGUUUCAUGUAGAGUCAUGAUCAUAUUUCUUGAUUGCGUUUUUUUUUUGUUUUGUUUUGUUUUGUUUUUUUGAGACAGAGUCUCACUCUGUCGCCGAGGCUGGAGUGCAGUGGUGCGAUCUUGGCUCACUGCAACCUCCGCCUCCUGGAUUCAAGCUUCCCGAGUAGCUGGGAUUACAGGUGCAUGCCACCAUGCCCGGCUAAUUUUUGUAUUUUUAGUAGAGACGGAGUUUCACCAUGUUAGUCAGGCUGGUCUCAAACUCCUGACCUCGUGAUCCACCCACCUCAACCUCCCAAAGUGCUGGGAUUACAAGCGUGAGCCACUGCGCCUGGCCUCCUGAUUGCUUUUUAAGUAAUUUUUUAAAAAUAAUUUUUCUCUUUAUUAUUAAAUGUUAGAAAUAUAUGGAAACGUGGGCAAAAAGUAAAAAUCACUCAAAUCUCAUUCCUAGAGUUAGUCACUAUUAAUAUUUUGGUGUAUGUGUAUUUCUUCCUUCAACAUUCAGAUUAUAUACUUUUUUGAAACUGGCUUUUUUCUCUUAAUGUGAAUUUCUCCAUGUCAUUAAAUAUUCUCCUAAAAACA